UACGUAGGGUGCGAGCGUUGUCCGGAAUUAUUGGGCGUAAAGGGCUCGUAGGCGGUCUGUUGCGUCAGGAGUGAAAACUCGGGGCUUAACCCCGAGCCUGCUUCUGAUACGGGCAGACUAGAGGUAUGCAGGGGAGAACGGAAUUCCUGGUGUAGCGGUGAAAUGCGCAGAUAUCAGGAGGAACACCAGUGGCGAAGGCGGCUCACUGGUCCGGUACUGACGCUGAGGUGCGAAAGCGUGGGGAGCAAACAGG
rnacentral:rRNA from 1 species